rnacentral:lncRNA from 1 species
CCUUUUUCUCUCAAAACGACCUUUAGGCCAACCAUAAGGUCUGGUGAGCCUUUGCCGUGGCCACCGAUCAUCGACGACGGCAAUCGCAGUUUUUGGUGGCCGAAAUUCCUAAAAAGUUUUCCUCGAGCCCCUUUUUUGUGUAGAUCGUGGAUCCGACGAUAGAUCCUCCGAAAAUCCAGUCAAAAUUCGACUCGUGACCAAGAAACCUUUCGGUUUCUCUUCUCCAACGUGGCCAUCGACGAACCCUAAGGGGUUCGGAGACCUCCCUGGUUGGAGGAGGACCUCCCAGUGGUGAUGAACAGGUAAAAUUUAAACCUUUAUCUUAUUAAUUUUAAUGUUAUUCAAAAUAAAAGUAGAGAAAAAAAAAAGAAUGAUGAAUCUUAGUUUUUUUGAACUUUGCUGUUGUUUUUUUAUACUCAAUUUCUCCAGUUUCUGUCGAGGCUGUCGACGAACCCUAAAGGGCUCGGAGACCGGUCGAAUCGGCAGAGAGCCGUCGACGACAGUGAUAGGAGAUGAAGCGAUGAGGUAAUUUUCUUUUAAACCUUGUUUUUAUUUUUUUAUGCUUUUUACAAAAAAAUAGAAUAAAAAUAAAAAUAGAAGAAUAUAAAACCACUUUUGUAAUUUGUUUUUUUUCUUUGUAUUCUCUUUUGAAUUUCUUCGUCUUCUGCAGGUGGUGGUGGCGAGGAUGAGGAGGUGUUAGGCCUCAAAUGGCACACCUACUGACGCGACAAGGGCGACGACCAGAGGCUUACGGACUUUUAGGGUUGUUGAUAUUUUUUAGGUUUUAGGUUUGGGGCUUAAAUAAUUUGAGCUUUUGGGUUUUAUAUUUGGACUUGUAAUGGACUGGACUUUUAAUUAAUGGACUUAUUUUUAUUUAUUUUUGUUAUUUUUAUUUGGGCCGGAUAAAAAUAGGCCUCUACAUAGUUUACCUAUGUAUUUUACUUUUAAA